rnacentral:piRNA from 1 species
UGCAUCAUCAUUUGUUCCCUU